rnacentral:rRNA from 1 species
AAUGGGUCAGCGACUUAUAUUCUGUAGCAAGGUUAACCGAAUAGGGGAGCCGAAGGGAAACCGAGUCUUAACUGGGCGUUAAGUUGCAGGGUAUAGACCCGAAACCCGGUGAUCUAGCCAUGGGCAGGUUGAAGGUUGGGUAACACUAACUGGAGGACCGAACCGACUAAUGUUGAAAAAUUAGCGGAUGACUUGUGGCUGGGGGUGAAAGGCCAAUCAAACCGGGAGAUAGCUGGUUCUCCCCGAAAGCUAUUUAGGUAGCGCCUCGUGAAUUCAUCUCCGGGGGUAGAGCACUGUUUCGGCAAGGGGGUCAUCCCGACUUACCAACCCGAUGCAAACUGCGAAUACCGGAGAAUGUUAUCACGGGAGACACACGGCGGGUGCUAACGUCCGUCGUGAAGAGGGAAACAACCCAGACCGCCAGCUAAGGUCCCAAAGUCAUGGUUAAGUGGGAAACGAUGUGGGAAGGCCCAGACAGCCAGGAUGUUGGCUUAGAAGCAGCCAUCAUUUAAAGAAAGCGUAAUAGCUCACUGGUCGAGUCGGCCUGCGCGGAAGAUGUAACGGGGCUAAACCAUGCACCGAAGCUGCGGCAGCGACACUAUGUGUUGUUGGGUAGGGGAGCGUUCUGUAAGCCUGUGAAGGUGUACUGUGAGGUAUGCUGGAGGUAUCAGAAGUGCGAAUGCUGACAUAAGUAACGAUAAAGCGGGUGAAAAGCCCGCUCGCCGGAAGACCAAGGGUUCCUGUCCAACGUUAAUCGGGGCAGGGUGAGUCGACCCCUAAGGCGAGGCCGAAAGGCGUAGUCGAUGGGAAACAGGUUAAUAUUCCUGUACUUGGUGUUACUGCGAAGGGGGGACGGAGAAGGCUAUGUUGGCCGGGCGACGGUUGUCCCGGUUUAAGCGUGUAGGCUGGUUUUCCAGGCAAAUCCGGAAAAUCAAGGCUGAGGCGUGAUGACGAGGCACUACGGUGCUGAAGCAACAAAUGCCCUGCUUCCAGGAAAAGCCUCUAAGCAUCAGGUAACAUCAAAUCGUACCCCAAACCGACACAGGUGGUCAGGUAGAGAAUACCAAGGCGCUUGAGAGAACUCGGGUGAAGGAACUAGGCAAAAUGGUGCCGUAACUUCGGGAGAAGGCACGCUGAUAUGUAGGUGAAGCGACUUGCUCGUGGAGCUGAAAUCAGUCGAAGAUACCAGCUGGCUGCAACUGUUUAUUAAAAACACAGCACUGUGCAAACACGAAAGUGGACGUAUACGGUGUGACGCCUGCCCGGUGCCGGAAGGUUAAUUGAUGGGGUUAGCGCAAGCGAAGCUCUUGAUCGAAGCCCCGGUAAACGGCGGCCGUAACUAUAACGGUCCUAAGGUAGCGAAAUUCCUUGUCGGGUAAGUUCCGACCUGCACGAAUGGCGUAAUGAUGGCCAGGCUGUCUCCACCCGAGACUCAGUGAAAUUGAACUCGCUGUGAAGAUGCAGUGUACCCGCGGCAAGACGGAAAGACCCCGUGAACCUUUACUAUAGCUUGACACUGAACAUUGAGCCUUGAUGUGUAGGAUAGGUGGGAGGCUUUGAAGUGUGGACGCCAGUCUGCAUGGAGCCGACCUUGAAAUACCACCCUUUAAUGUUUGAUGUUCUAACGUUGGCCCCUGAUCGGGGUUGCGGACAGUGUCUGGUGGGUAGUUUGACUGGGGCGGUCUCCUCCUAAAGAGUAACGGAGGAGCACGAAGGUUGGCUAAUCCUGGUCGGACAUCAGGAGGUUAGUGCAAUGGCAUAAGCCAGCUUGACUGCGAGCGUGACGGCGCGAGCAGGUGCGAAAGCAGGUCAUAGUGAUCCGGUGGUUCUGAAUGGAAGGGCCAUCGCUCAACGGAUAAAAGGUACUCCGGGGAUAACAGGCUGAUACCGCCCAAGAGUUCAUAUCGACGGCGGUGUUUGGCACCUCGAUGUCGGCUCAUCACAUCCUGGGGCUGAAGUAGGUCCCAAGGGUAUGGCUGUUCGCCAUUUAAAGUGGUACGCGAGCUGGGUUUAGAACGUCGUGAGACAGUUCGGUCCCUAUCUGCCGUGGGCGCUGGAGAACUGAGGGGGGCUGCUCCUAGUACGAGAGGACCGGAGUGGACGCAUCACUGGUGUUCGGGUUGUCAUGCCAAUGGCACUGCCCGGUAGCUAAAUGCGGAAGAGAUAAGUGCUGAAAGCAUCUAAGCACGAAACUUGCCCCGAGAUGAGUUCUCCCUGACUCCCUGAGAGUCCUGAAGGAACGUUGAAGACGACGACGUUGAUAGGCCGGGUGUGUAAGCGCAGCGAUGCGUUGAGCUAACCGGUACUAAUGAACCGUGAGG